UCAGCCUGCCCAGUGACAAAGUUUAACGGCCGCGGUACCCUAACCGUGCGAAGGUAGCAUAAUCACUUGUUCUUUAAAUGAGGACUCGUAUCAACGGCACUACGAGGGCUAUACUGUCUCCUUUUUCCAAUCAGUGAAACUGAUCUCCCCGUGAAGAAGCGGGGAUGAAAAUAUAAGACGAGAAGACCCCAUGGAGCUUUAAACUCACCAUGCACCUCUAUGCCCUUAUAUCACUAAACAUAAGACACCUGCAUGAUAGUUUUAGGUUGGGGGGACCACGGAGUAUAAUAUAACCUCCACAACAAAUGGGCUAACACCCUUAUCCACGAGACACAACUCUAAGAAUUAUUAAACUAAUGCUUAUGACCCGAUAAUCGAUCAAUGAACCAAGUUACCCUGGGGAUAACAGCGCAAUCUACUUCAAGAGCCCAUAUCGACAAGUAGGUUUACGACCUCGAUGUUGGAUCAGGGUAUCCCGGUGGUGCAGCCGCUACUAAUGGUUCGUUUGUUCAACGAUUAAAACCCUACGUGA
rnacentral:rRNA from 1 species